UAGGAUAUCUGUCUUUUGGAGACUUGUUUAUUUUACUAAGUAUAAUGGUUUCCAGCUUCAUCUAUCUUGUUGCAAAAGACAGGGUUUCUUUUUCUUUCUUUCUUUUUUAAUAACUGAGUAGUACGCCAUAGUGUGUAUAUACCAUAAUUUUCUUAUCAAGUCAACAAUUGAUAUCUGGAUUGUUCCCAGAUCUCAGCUAUUGUGAAUUGUGCUGCAAUGAACAUGGGGUUAUAGAUAACUCUUGCAUAUGCUAAUUUUGUUUGGGUAAAUUCCAUGGAGUGGGAUGGCUAGAUCAAAUGGUAGGCCUAUAAUCAGAUUUGUAAGAUAUCUCCAUACAGUUUUUCACAGUGGCUUGCAUCAGUUUACAUUCCCACUAGCAGUGGACCAGCAUAACUUUUUUCCACAUCCUCAUCAGCUUUGUCAUUUGUUGAUUUUUUUUUUUUUUGACAGGCAGAGUUAGGCAGUGAGAGAGAGAGAGACAGAGACAGAGAGAAAGUCUUCCUUCCAUUGGUUCAGCCCCCAAAUGGCCACUACGGCUGGUGCACUGCAGCCAGCAUGCUGCGCUGAUCUGAAACCAGGAGCCAGGUGCUUCCUCCUGGUCUCCCAUGCGGGUGCUAUUCUUUCUUCCCUAGUUCUGACUCUUAAAACUGUUCCAAAUUAUGGGAUUUGAUUCAAUGCACCAGGUCUUAAAUUUAAGGUUUUAUUUCUGACUUUUGAACAACCAAAGGGACAGAUUCUGUGUUAUUUUAAAGUAAUCUACUAUGUUCUCUUAAUGCCUCUUAAGUUCUAAUUGUUUAAAACAACUGAGUUUUAAAGGAGUUAUGAUUUGAUCAAAUCUGACCCUUGGGCUAGAUGGUGAAAGUGACAUCUUAAGUUUUAACAUAUUUAUAUAUAUAUAUAUAUAUAUAUGAUUAAGUUUAAAAGUGACUGUAUUUGAUUGCAUUAAGUUUUAAGUUGAUCAUGUAGGAGGCACUGUUAAAGUGAUCAUAUCAACAGAAUUAAAGAGUAGUAAAUGCUUGAACAUGGGAAGCAGUCCAUACAGCAGACUCAUAGAAUGGCAAUUGCUCUAAGUAAUGCUCAAUGACCUCAGAGUCAUCCCUAAAGGCAUUCUGGUCUGGCUAAAAAGCCCACAAGAGCAUUUCAGGCAUGGAAAGUCAGGACACUUGUGCAAAAAGGUGUGCCUACAUGGAGAGUCUCCCUGGGUGAGACUCCUGUGGAAAGAAGUGGUCAUCAAAGAAGGAUGUACUCUCUUCAAAGGGAGAACUUUCACUUUGCUUAUGGCCUUCUCUAAAUAUUGAUGGAUUUUGUAGAUUCAGAAGGCUUCCAUAGCCUAGACAGUUCAUGUCAAGAGCCUUGGGUGAUCACUGACAGCACACAAAAGAGUGUGAAUUGUGAAAUUAACCACAGGAGUCACUGUGCAUUAACUUCCCAUGCAGGACCAUAAGACUAUGCUUAAAAAACAGAGGGGAGAGUACGGUACCCCCACUAUGAGUGUAUUAACUUUGCUCCUUUCACCGUAAAGUUCUUACAGGUCUCACCCCCUGGAGAGCCACCAGCAGUGAGACACUGGAGACCUUUCACAGAGAUCACUCUGCAGCCUGUGUGGAUAGCAACCUGAAAUGCCAAACCCUGGACCCAGUCUCUGAAAGCUGACCCUCUACAAACCAACUUCAGCACCUUUCCCUGAACAAGCCAUUCAUAGAAAGAUCCUCUUCAGAUGGGCUACAGCUUAAAUGGAAGGGACCUUACCAGGUGCUACUGAACAUGACUACCUCAGUAAAAUUAGGAUUAAUGUCUACCUCUCAAGUCCUCACAGGUGUACUCAAAAGAUAUGCCUGAUUAUUCCUGUAAGCCAGAGAUCUUAAGCAAAAAGAAAAGUAAAGCCUUUGCUUUCCUCACAUCAAGAGUGCUGCUCCUGAAGGCAGGCAUGGUGUACCUGCCUCUUUGAUUCUCUCUGUUAUCAACAAUAAAACUCCUAAUGUGUUCUUCUAAUAUAA